UUUUUUUUAACGACCCAAUCAAUCGUCACCGACAACGCUUUUAGUUUUUUCUUCACCCUUCACGUUGUGUCAAUGUGAUUUGUGUUGUUACUGGAAACGUUUCCGUGCUCUUAUUUAAGCAGACACACGUGAAGCUAAGUGGCUAACAGACGGAGCUAACUUAGCCUGAGGCUAUUAGCAAGCUACUCCACUCCACUUACACGAAAGCGCAGCUAAAAAAAGAGAAGAACAGAUAGAUGGAUAGCUGGAUGGAUAGAUAGAUACCAUAUUAAUAGAGGAACGGUCAAACCAGUAAAAACCAAAUGCAAGAGCAGCAAAUGUGACGAAUUAACUACAUUUAAAUGGCGAGCAGGGUUGUUGUGUCCUGGAGGCUCAGAGGCGUACUGCAUUUCGGCCAACAGUUUACCGCAGAUACCAGCAGUAAGUUACCUUCCAGCCCAUCACAUUCCGAUGCGUUCUUUCAUGUUUCUUACAUUCUUUCACAGCUUCCACCAGAUCAAAGAUGGAUGCCGGGCAACUUUGGAGCACUUGUGGCACAGUCUAAAAAAAGCUUCUGCCUGGCCUGACUGCUGAGUCGGCAUCAGCACUGUCCAGAUGCUCAGGCAUCCCAAACUCCCACAGACGCUCCAGCUUCACUCAGUAAGAACAGAUAAAUCGCCGACAGAUCCACACUGACUGACACAAGAACAUUCUCAUGGCCUGCUUUGGCAUUGUCGUGAGGGAAAAGAAGCUGUUUGCAUCACACAGACUUGUUAGACUUUCCAGUUUUUCCUCAUUCUCCUCUAAGGCACUCUGCUCCUUAUGAAGUUUACUCGUGCACUGUUUAGGCUAACGUGCUAGUGUUUAUAUGGCGUCACCCCAUAAUGGAGCUACAGCUAAAAAUUAGCUUGUGAGCACACAGACACUGGACAAUUGGUGCACAAUGACCCAUAGAGUGGUUAGAACAUCAAAAUGUGCACGCGUCAUAGCCUUCGACAUCAGACCAAAAAAAAAACUCUCUUGAGAUACCUGUUAGAGUUUUAAAAAUGAUUGCAGUUCAGUUCAGUACACUUGAUUGUUCCCAGAGAGAAUCUUUCUUGCACACAGGAUAAAAGACUGCUACGCCACUUAGUGAAUGAUUGUGUAAGAGGCAUUGCAAUGGUUAUCAAUAAAGUUUUUUGAACAUCAAACAAUGGGGCUGGUGACUCUUUAAUGCAUAGGUUUCAA